UACGUAGGGGGCAAGCGUUGUCCGGAAUUAUUGGGCGUAAAGAGCGUGUAGGCGGCCAGAUAAGUCCGCUGUGAAAUCUCGAGGCUCAACUUCGAGCUGUCGGUGGAAACUAUCUGGCUAGAGUCCGGAAGAGGAGAAUGGAAUUCCUGGUGUAGCGGUGAAAUGCGCAGAUAUCAGGAAGAACACCCGUGGCGAAGGCGGUUCUCUGGGCGAUG
rnacentral:rRNA from 1 species